rnacentral:rRNA from 1 species
AGUCGUUCUGCCCAUUGUUUUUAAAAGGCUGCGGUAUAUUAACUGUACAAAGGUAGCAAAAUAAAUAGUUUUUUAAUUGAAAACUUGAAUGAAAGAGUUGAUAAAAUAUAAAUUGUCUUAAAUAUUGAAUUUAAAUUAAAAGUUAAAAUGCUUUUAUAUUUUUAUUAGACGAUAAGACCCUAAGAAUUUUAUUAUUUAUUUUAUUUUUAUAAAUUUAUAAAGAAUGAUUAAUUUUAUUGGGAGGGUAAAUAAAUUGAACUUUAAUUUAAAUAAAUAUUUUUUGAUAAAUUUAAUGAUUAUUAUUAAGAUUAUAAGAAUUAAUUACCUUAGGGAUAACAGCGUAAUAAUUUUGGAGAGUUCAUAUUGAUAAAAUUGUUUGCGACCUCGAUGUUGAAUUAAAAUAAAAAUUGGAUGGAGAAAUUCAAAUUUUUAGUCUGUUCGACUAUUAAAAUUUUAC